GGAAGGUAUAGCUCAGAGGUAGAGCGCGUGCUUGACAUGUAUGAGGUCCUGGGUUCAAUCCCCAGUGCCUCCA